UACGUAGGGGGCUAGCGUUGUCCGGAAUCAUUGGGCGUAAAGAGCGUGUAGGUGGCUUGGUAAGUCCGCUGUGAAAGUCCAGGGCUCAACCCUGGAAUGCCAGUGGAAACUGUCAAGCUAGAGUCCGGAAGAGGCGAGUGGAAUUCCUGGUGUAGCGGUGAAAUGCGCAGAUAUCAGGAGGAACACCAAUGGCGAAGGCAGCUCGCUGGGACGGUACUGACACUGAGACGCGAAAGCGUGGGGAGCAAACAGG
rnacentral:rRNA from 1 species